GCAGUUGGUGGACCUGGUCGCGCUGUGCCGGGUGUGACACUACGGAGAGCAGAUUACAUUAUCAAAAGCACCAAGUUGAAACAUUUGCAAGGUGAGGAAACUGAGCACUAAGACACUAAAUAACUUGCCCAGGGUCAUACGACAGACAUGAGAGGUUUAUAUCAGGCAGUCUCCACCCCUGUUCCGAAGUCAAGAGGCUGACUCGGGUUGCUACUUCUUGACAGACCGGACCCCAGAUCGCCGAAGACCAUUUGGACACACUUCUAUCAAAUCCUGGCGGUCUCCUUCUAACAGGGAGUGGGAUGCUGCUCUAAUGAUACCCCGAAAUGUGGAAGUGACCUUGAAACUGUUUAACAGGCAGAGGUUGGAACUGUUUGGAGGGCUCAGAAGAAGACAGGAAGAUGUGGGAACGUUUGGAACUUCCUAGAGACUUGUUGAAUGGCUUUGACCAAAAUACUGAUAGUCAUAUGAACAAUGAAGUACAGGCUGAGGUGUUUUCAGAUGGAAAUGAGGAACUUGUUGGAAACUGGAAUAAGCAUGACUCCUGCUAUGCUUUAGCAAAGAGACUGGUGAUAUUUUGCUGUUGCCGUACAGAUCUAUGGAACAUUGAACUUGAAAGAGAUGAUUUAGGGUAUCUGGCAGAAAAAAUUUCUAAGCAGCAAUGUGUUCAAGAUGUGAUAUGGGUGCUCUUAAAAGCAUUCAGUUUUAUGCAUUCACAAGGAGAUGGUUUGGAAUUGGAACUUAUGUUUAAAUGGAAAUCAGAGCAUAAAAGUUCAGAAAAUUUGCAGCCUUACAAUGUAAUAGAAAAGAGAAAUCCAUUUUCUGAGGAGAAAUUCCAACCUGCUUCUUGCAUAAGUAACCAUUGGCCAAAUGUUAAUCACCAAGACAAUGAGGAAAAUGUCUCCAGCUCAUGUCAGAGGUCCUCAUGGCAGCCCCUCCCAUCACAGGCCUUGAGGCCCAGGGGGAGAAAAUGGUUUCUUGGGCUGGGCCAAGGGCCUUGCUACUUUGUGCAAUCUUGGAACUUGCUGCCCUGCAUCCCAGCUAUGGCUAAAAGGGGCCAACAUACAGCUCAGACCAUUGCUUCAGAGGCUGCAAACCCCAAGCCUUGGAAGCUUACACGUGAUGUUGGGUCUGUGGAUGCACAGAAGUCAAGAACUAAGGUUUGGGAACAUCCACCUAUAUUUCAGAGGAUGUACAGAAAUGACUGGAUGU
rnacentral:lncRNA from 1 species